rnacentral:rRNA from 1 species
GAUGAACGCUGGCUACAGGCUUAACACAUGCAAGUCGAGGGGAAACGACGGGGAAGCUUGCUUCCCCGGGCGUCGACCGGCGCACGGGUGAGUAACGCGUAUCCAACCUGCCUCUGACUGAGGGAUAACCCGUCGAAAGUCGGCCUAAUACCUCAUGGCAUCGUCUGCGGGCAUCCAACGACGAUUAAAGAUUUCAUCGGUCAGAGAUGGGGAUGCGUCUGAUUAGCUUGUUGGCGGGGUAACGGCCCACCAAGGCGACGAUCAGUAGGGGUUCUGAGAGGAAGGUCCCCCACAUUGGAACUGAGACACGGUCCAAACUCCUACGGGAGGCAGCAGUGAGGAAUAUUGGUCAAUGGGCGAGAGCCUGAACCAGCCAAGUAGCGUGCAGGAUGACGGCCCUAUGGGUUGUAAACUGCUUUUAUGCGGGGAUAAAGUGAGGGACGUAUCCUUCAUUGCAGGUACCGCAUGAAUAAGGACCGGCUAAUUCCGUG